GCCGGGUAUGGUGGCUCACGCCUGUAAUCCCAGUGUCUCUGGAGGCUGAGGCAGGAGGAUUGCAAGUUCAAAGCCAGCCUCAGCAACAGUGAGGGGCUAAGUAACUCAGUGAGACCCUGUCUCUA
rnacentral:sRNA from 1 species